AGUGGUAAUAGGAGUGGACUUCAAUGGGCAUGUUGGUGAAGGGAACAGAGGUGAUGAGGAAGUAAUGGGUAGAUAUGAUAUCAAGGACAGGAAUGUGGAAGGACAGAUGGUAGGUGAUUUUGCAAAAUGAAUGGAAAUGGCUGUAGUGAAUACAUACUUUAAGAAAACGGAGGCGCACAGGGUGACAUAAGAGUGGAGGAAGGUGCACACAGAUGGACUACAUUCUUUACAUAGUAUAUGCAA